rnacentral:rRNA from 1 species
AACGAACGCUGGCGGCAUGCCUAACACAUGCAAGUCGAACGAAGGCUUCGGCCUUAGUGGCGCACGGGUGCGUAACGCGUGGGAAUCUGCCCUUUGGUUCGGAAUAACAGCUGGAAACGGCUGCUAAUACCGGAUGAUGACGAAAGUCCAAAGAUUUAUCGCCAGAGGAUGAGCCCGCGUUGGAUUAGGUAGUUGGUGGGGUAAAGGCCUACCAAGCCGACGAUCCAUAGCUGGUCUGAGAGGAUGAUCAGCCACACUGGGACUGAGACACGGCCCAGACUCCUACGGGAGGCAGCAGUGGGGAAUAUUGGACAAUGGGCGCAAGCCUGAUCCAGCAAUGCCGCGGGAGUGAUGAAGGCCCUAGGGUUGUAAAGCUCUUUUACCCGGGAAGAUAAUGACUGUACCGGGAGAAUAAGCCCCGGCUAACUCCGU